AUUGAACGCUGGCGGCAAGCCUAACACAUGCAAGUCGAACGAGCGGCGGACGGGUGAGUAAUGUCUGGGAAACUGCCUGAUGGAGGGGGAUAACUACUGGAAACGGUAGCUAAUACCGCAUACCAUCAGAUGAACCCAUAUGGGAUUAGCUUGUAGGUGGGGUAAAGGCUCACCUAGGCGACGAUCCCUAGCUGGUCUGAGAGGAUGACCAGCCACACUGGAACUGUGACACGGCCCAGACUCCUACGGGAGGCAGCAGUGGGGAAUAUUGCACAAUGGGCGCAAGCCUGAUGCAGCCAUGCAGCGUGUAUGAAGAAGGCCUUCGGGUUGUAAAGUACUUUCAGUCGGGAGGCGUUACCCGCAGAAGAAGCACCGGCUAACUCCGUGCCAGCAGCCGCGGUAAUAC
rnacentral:rRNA from 1 species